AUUGAACGCUGGCGGUAGGCCUAACACAUGCAAGUCGAACGGCAGCACAGUAAGAGCUUGCUCUUACGGGUGCCGAGGGGCGGACGGGUGAGGAAUACAUCCGAAUCUACUGUUUCGUGGCGGAUAACGUAGGGAAACUUACGCUAAUACCGCAUACGACCUAAGGGUGAAAGCAGGGGAUCUUCGGACCUUGCGCGAUUGAAUGAGCCGAUGUCGGAUUAGCUAGUUGGUGGGGUAAAGGCCCACCAAGGCGACGAUCCGUAGCUGGUCUGAGAGGAUGAUCAGCCACACUGGGACUGAGACACGGUCCAGACUCCUACGGGAGGCAGCAGUGGGGAAUUUUGGACAAUGGGGGCAAGCCUGAUCCAGCCAUGCCGCGUGGGGGAAGAAGGCCUUCGGGUUGUAAAGCCCUUUUGUUGGGGAAGAAAAGCAGCAGGUUAAUACCCCGCUGUUCUGACGGUACCCAAAGAAUAAGCACCGGCUAACUUCGUG
rnacentral:rRNA from 1 species